GACGGAGGAUGCAAGUGUUAUCCGGAAUCACUGGGCGUAAAGCGUCUGUAGGUGGUUCGAAAAGUCCACUGUUAAAAAUUGAAGCUUAACUUCAAAGAUGCCGUGGAAACUUUCAAACUAGAGUGUGGUAGGGGUAGAGGGAAUUUCCAGUGGAGCGGUGAAAUGCGUAGAUAUUGGAAAGACCACCGAUGGCGAAGGCGAACUUCCUGGCCUGUUCUUGACGCUGAGGCGCGAAAGCUAGGGUAGCAAACGGG
rnacentral:rRNA from 1 species